AAGCCAACGAGGAUUUUGUCUUAUAGUUGGAAUUACAGGCUGAAUUUACUUUGAUGUUAAACAGACUGGCUAUCCGAGGCUUCAG